GGGAAGAUGGCUCAGUGUUAGAGUGCUUGCUUUGCAUGCAUGAGGACCUGGGUUCGAUUCCUCAGUACCA
rfam:Dipodomys ordii contig_54226, whole genome shotgun sequence.